GCGGUUGUGGUGGAAUUGGUAGACACGCCAUCUUGAGGGGGUGGUAAGGCAACUUGUGCGAGUUCGAGUCUCGCCAACCGCACCA
rnacentral:tRNA from 1 species